rnacentral:tRNA from 1 species
GCGAGAGUAGCUCAAUUGGUGGAGCGUCUCCUUGCCAAGGAGAAGGNNGUGGUGAAAUUGGUAUACACGCC